GACGAACGCUGGCGGCGUGCCUAAUACAUGCAAGUAGAACGCUGAAGGAAGGAGCUUGCUCUUUCUGGAUGAGUUGCGAACGGGUGAGUAACGCGUAGGUAACCUGCCUGGUAGCGGGGGAUAACUAUUGGAAACGAUAGCUAAUACCGCAUAAAAUUGAUUAUUGCAUGAUAGUCAAUUAAAAGGUGCAACUGCACCACUACCAGAUGGACCUGCGUUGUAUUAGCUAGUUGGUGGGGUAACGGCUCACCAAGGCGACGAUACAUAGCCGACCUGAGAGGGUGAUCGGCCAAACUGGGACUGAGACACGGCCCAGACUCCUACGGGAGGCAGCAGUAGGGAAUCUUCGGCAAUGGACGGAAGUCUGAACGAGCAACGCCGCGGGAGUGAAGAAGGGUUUCGGAUCGUAAAGCUCUGUUGUAAGAGAAGAACGAGUGUGAGAGUGGAAAGUUCACACUGUGACGGUAGCUUAACAGAAAGGGACGGCUAACUACGUG
rnacentral:rRNA from 1 species